AACUUUCAGCAACGGAUCUAUUGGCUCUCGCAUCGAUGAAGAACGCAGCGAAAUGCGAUAAGUAAUGUGAAUUGCAGAAUUCAGUGAAUCAUCGAAUUUUUGAACGCAACUUGCGCCCCUUGGUAUUCCGAGGGGCAUGCCCGUUUGAGUGUCAUUGUAUUCUCAAACCCCUUCAUUUUUUGUGAAGUGGGCUUUGGAUUUGGAGGUCUUUGCGGGUUUGUAAUAAAUCCGCUCCUCUUGAAUGCAUUAGCUGGAAAACCUUUGUUAGGCUAGCUUUAGUGUGAUAAUUGUGUUUACACUGUAGUUGUCUGGCACUUUGUAUAGGACUCCGCUUCUAAUUGUCUUGACAUCUGACCUCAAAUCGGGUAGGACUACCCGCUGAACUUAAGCAUAUCAAUAAGCGGAGGCU
rnacentral:misc_RNA from 1 species